CACAGUGUAGCAAUACAUGGGUGGCGACCGGCAAACGGGUGCGGAACACGUACGCAACCUUCCUUCAGGCGGGGAAUAGCCCAGAGAAAUUUGGAUUAAUACCCCAUAAUAUUUUGAGAUGGCAUCAUCUUAUUAUUAAAGCUACGGCACCUGGAGAUGGGCGUGCGGCUGAUUAGGUAGUUGGCGGGGUAAUGGCCCACCAAGCCUACGAUCAGUAGCUGAUGUGAGAGCAUGAUCAGCCACACGGGCACUGAGACACGGGCCCGACUCCUACGGGAGGCAGCAGUAAGGAAUAUUGGUCAAUGGACGCAAGUCUGAACCAGCCAUGCCGCGUGGAGGAUGAAGGUCCUCUGGAUUGUAAACUUCUUUUAUCUGGGACGAAAAAAGGGUUUUCUAACUCGUCUGACGGUACCAGAUGAAUAAGCACCGGCUAACUCCGUGCCAGCAGCCGCGGUAAUACGGAGGGUGCAAGCGUUAUCCGGAUUCACUGGGUUUAAAGGGUGCGUAGGCGGGCAUUUAAGUCAGUGGUGAAAUACCUGAGCUUAACUUGGGAACUGCCAUUGAUACUAUUUGUCUUGAAUGUCGUGGAGGUUAGCGGAAUAUGUCAUGUAGCGGGGAAAAGGUUUGGAUAUGACAUAGAACACCUAUUGCGAAGGCAGCUAACUACGCGAAUAUUGACGCUGAGGCACGAAAGCGUGGGGAUCAAACAGGAUUAGAUACCCUGGUAGUCCACGCCCUAAACGAUGAUUACUCGACAUUAGCGAUACACUGUUAGUGUCUGAGCG
rnacentral:rRNA from 1 species